rnacentral:rRNA from 1 species
CCUACGGGAUGCUGCAGUGGGGAAUAUUGGACAAUGGGCGAAAGCCUGAUCCAGCCAUGCCGCGUGUGUGAAGAAGGCCUUCGGGUUGUAAAGCACUUUCAGUGGGGAAGAAAGCCUUGGGGCUAAUACCCUCGAGGAAGGACAUCACCCACAGAAGAAGCACCGGCUAACUCCGUGCCAGCAGCCGCGGUAAUACGGAGGGUGCGAGCGUUAAUCGGAAUUACUGGGCGUAAAGCGCGCGUAGGCGGUCUGAUAAGCCGGUUGUGAAAGCCCCGGGCUCAACCUGGGAACGGCAUCCGGAACUGUCAGGCUAGAGUGCAGGAGAGGAAGGUAGAAUUCCCGGUGUAGCGGGGAAAUGCGUAGAGAUCGGGAGGAAUACCAGUGGCGAAGGCGGCCUUCUGGACUGACACUGACGCUGAGGUGCGAAAGCGUGGGUAGCAAACAGGAUUAGAUACCCUGGUAGUC